AGCUGUUACCAGUAUCAUGCUCUCUUGGUUCUGUAUGGAUGGUCGGUCAUACACUAAAGUUUUGAUACUGUGCAAUCCUUGAAUCGUACAGAACGGGCAGGAUCAUGGAAGAAGCAACCAGUAAUCGACCCUGCUGCGGUGGAUGCUUGUCCAUUUUUUGGGCGUUCCUUUGAAGACAAAAGUUCCUCUUUUUGUUUGGGCUGGCUGGCUGGGCAGCUAGCUGAUUUUGCAUCGCUAUGAUAUACGGGAUAUACGCAAGGUAAAACGCACGACCCUGUAUACAUUCCGCACAAAGCGCCCAUCAUGGGCAUGCCCCAAAUGUUCACGUAUUUUCCCCCGCUGUUGCUGCUGACGAGUACUUCGCCUCCGGCUGGGCUCGUUUAUGUCCACCGGACGAAAAUCUUGCCGCUACGCAGCAGCAUAUUGAACGAUUAGCGGAUAUUUGGAGUGGACGAAAAGAGCAGCAUGCGGAAUUACUGUAUAAUAAAUAAUCACCCCAAUAUUUAUUCCAAGGGUACAACCAAUUAGAAAGGAGAUGGGAAAAGUCAACGGGAAAGCAAAGGGGUGUGGAAAGUUGGAAUAAAUAAUGGGGGAUCACCUCAAGAUGAGUUAUUGUUACAUACUGUGGACAAAUAGUUAAACUUACAGGA
rnacentral:sRNA from 1 species